rnacentral:lncRNA from 1 species
CAGUUUAAUAUCUUUACUAAUCAUCAGACCAUACGGCACUUCCUGAGUCAACGAGUGACUACCCUAAUCUAGCAAUGUUAGCUUCUCAAACUCAUGGGAUACAACUUUACGCUUCAAUACCGCUUAGGUACACAAAAUCAGGCAGCGGAUGUUUUUUCACGCAGCCAUGAACUUCUAUCAAUCAUCGCGGCAUUGCACCCUG